rnacentral:rRNA from 1 species
CAGUCGCCGCGGUAAUACGAGGGGGGCAAGCGUUGUUCGGAAUUAUUGGGCGUAAAGGGUGCGUAGGCGGUUUGGCAAGUCUUGUGUGAAAUCUUCGGUCUCAACCCGAAGCCUGCACGAGAAACUGCCGGGCUUGAGUAUUGGAGGGGUGAGUGGAAUUUCCGGUGUAGCGGUGAAAUGCGUAGAUAUCGGAAGGAACACCUGUGGCGAAAGCGGCUCACUGGACAAUAACUGACGCUGAUGCACGAAAGCUAGGGGAGCAAACAGGAUUAGAUACCCCUGUAGUCCCUGUCUCUUAUAC